GCUGGUAUGGCUCAGUUGGUAGAGCAGCUGAUUCGUAAUCAGCAGGUCGCCAGUUCAAGUCUGGCUACCAGCUCCA
rnacentral:tRNA from 3 species